rnacentral:lncRNA from 1 species
CUCAAAGAAAAAAAGGUAUACUAAGAAACAAGACCCUUCCGAGGAUUCUGGAUCCGAGGAAGAGAGAGAAAAGGGAAAGGAUGCCCUGGGAGAGCAAAAGGAUAAGGGAGAGAGAAAAAGGAAGAAAGAUAAGGGGGAGAAGAGAAAAGAGAAGGGGAGGGAGUCCCCUGAGAGGAAGAGCCUUUAUCCAGUAAAAGAACUUGAGGCUCUGGGACUCGAUAGCUCAGAUUCAGAUACUGGGCUCAGUCCCUCAGAAGAGGAAGAUUUAAAGGAGGAGGCAGAAGGAAAAGUGAAAGCAGGAACAAGGCCGUUAUGGAAACUGAUUAAGUCUUGUAUCCAGGACAAGAAAUGUGAGCUAGCUGUUAAGGAAGGGCAACGACUUUUGCAGGAGCACCAGGGAAGUAUAUCAGAAACAGAGAUAAAUGAAAAAGAAGGCUCGCGCAGGAAAAAAACAAACAAACAAAAAAAAGUGAAACCAUUAAGAGGUAAACCGGUGGGGUCCGCGCAGUCUGCCCGGAAGAUCAAACCCGGCGGCACGUGUCCGGCAGUGCCGGUGGUCCCGGUGGAUCUUUCCCGCUCCCCGUUCCUCCCAACCCCUCCACCCACGCGUCGUUCCCCCCUCCCUCCCCGCAUCCAGCGCUCUGGCAGCGGGCAUGGGGGGCAGAGCGUUGGGGGCGCGUGGGCAGGGCCGGGGGUGGGGCCGGCAGGGGAUCGCCCCCUGGAUGGUGACCGGCCCCUGCCAGGUGCACUUCUACCGUGGCUAUUUCAGAGCUCUCCUAGGGACAGAAGGAAAAACGGGAGAUGUCCUACUUCCUCUCUGGCUCCUAUGGAGAUAUUCUUAGCUCUAGUUAGGAUAUCUGUGUCCCUUUGAGACACCAAAUUAUAUUCCCUGUCUGUCUAUUGUUUUUGGUGCACCAAAUUGUCCAUUUGUCUGUCAAUUCAUGUUUGUUUUUGUUUUGUUGUUUGAAUGAUUGUUGUUCUGUGUUUCAUGUUGAAAAAUAUAAUUGGUUAAAACUUUAUCUGCUGGCUGUCCAUCCUUUAACUUGUUUAAAA